rnacentral:rRNA from 1 species
CAUCAUGAUUUACAUUUGAGUGAGUGGCGAACUGGUGAGUAACACGUGGGAAACCUGCCCAGAAGCGGGGGAUAACACCUGGAAACAGAUGCUAAUACCGCAUAACAACUUGGACCGCAUGGUCCGAGUUUGAAAGAUGGCUUCGGCUAUCACUUUUGGAUGGUCCCGCGGCGUAUUAGCUAGAUGGUGGGGUAACGGCUCACCAUGGCAAUGAUACGUAGCCGACCUGAGAGGGUAAUCGGCCACAUUGGGACUGAGACACGGCCCAAACUCCUACGGGAGGCAGCAGUAGGGAAUCUUCCACAAUGGACGAAAGUCUGAUGGAGCAACGCCGCGUGAGUGAAGAAGGGUUUCGGCUCGUAAAACUCUGUUGUUAAAGAAGAACAUAUCUGAGAGUAACUGUUCAGGUAUUGACGGUAUUUAACCAGAAAGCCACGGCUAACUACGUGCCAGCAGCCGCGGUAAUACGUAGGUGGCAAGCGUUGUCCGGAUUUAUUGGGCGUAAAGCGAGCGCAG